rnacentral:rRNA from 1 species
AUAGGGAUUUCCCUUCGGGGACAAAAGUGACAGGUGGUGCAUGGUUGUCGUCAGCUCGUGUCGUGAGAUGUUGGGUUAAGUCCCGCAACGAGCGCAACCCUUGAUCUUAGUUGCCAGCAUUUAGUUGGGCACUCUAAGGUGACUGCCGGUGACAAACCGGAGGAAGGUGGGGAUGACGUCAAAUCAUCAUGCCCCUUAUGACCUGGGCUACACACGUGCUACAAUGGAUGGUACAAAGAGUCGCAAACCCGCGAGGGCUAGCUAAUCUCAUAAAGCCAUUCUCAGUUCGGAUUGUAGGCUGCAACUCGCCUACAUGAAGCCGGAAUCGCUAGUAAUCGCGGAUCAGCAUGCCGCGGUGAAUACGUUCCCGGGCCUUGUACACACCGCCCGUCACACCACGAGAGUUUGUAACACCCGAAGUCGGUGAGGUAACCGCAAGGAGCCAGCCGCCUAAGGUGGGAUAGAUGAU